rnacentral:rRNA from 1 species
AGCUACGGUCAUAGAACACUGAAAACACGGCUUCCCGUCCGCUCAGCCCUAGUUAAGCADKGUAUCGCGAGGUUAGUACUAUGGUGGGUGACCACAUGGGAAUCCCUCGUACUGUAGUU